UACGUAGGGUGCAAGCGUUGUCCGGAAUUAUUGGGCGUAAAGAGCUCGUAGGCGGUCUGUCGCGUCGGCUGUGAAAACCCGGGGCUCAACCCCGGGCCUGCAGUCGAUACGGGCAGACUAGAGUGCGGUAGGGGAGACUGGAAUUCCUGGUGUAGCGGUGAAAUGCGCAGAUAUCGGAAGGAACACCAGUGGCGAAAGCGGCUUCCUGGUCCGACACCGACGUUCAGGCACGAAAGCGUGGGGAGCAAACAGG
rnacentral:rRNA from 1 species